GCCCUUUGCCGAGAUCACAUCACCGAAACGCAACCGCACCUCGCCACGUACGAGGGAUCAGCACCCAACACAACAAAACUAGAAACUAAGCACGAACACUAUUAGCCUUGGCGCCAAUUUGUAUAGGCAGACCUAGUUAGAAUUAGUGAACAAUCGAUAUCUGUUGAAUGCACAUACAACUGUGAGUUCAGUCUGCUCGCAACGCUAGCAAGUUUAGUACAACUUAACAAUAUAAUUGGCCUUACCGUAUCUAUUGGUCAGGAACUAUCGUGAAAUAGCUUAAAACCGUGAAUAACAUCUAAGGUUUCUAUUUAGGGUUACAAUUGCCACGUGUGAUAUGUGGGUCUGAUAUCUAUGAAUAUCAGUCCGUAUUUGAUGAGCAUUGAGAUAAUUCUAGCAGUUUGUCACAUCUUAACUACUGUUGAUUCUCAUAUUCCGGCCGAUAAUAGGAGAGUAAGGCACUAAACGGAAAAUUUAAUUCGUCCGAAUAAAUGUAUUAGAAUUCUGGAAACGCCUGUUGCAAGUUAUUGUAACAAGUUUAUUUGGUCGUCGACUCUCUAAAUCUGUGAACCCGAUAAACCCAAUAAAUGUAUGUGAAAUUUUUGCACUAAUCACCAUGUAUCUUCUGAACCGGAAGUCGGAUCUGAUUAAAAAGCAAGCAGCU